rnacentral:ncRNA from 1 species
UUCUUAUCAAGAGAGGUGGAGGGACUGGCCCUUAGAAGCCUCGGCAGCGGACUCAUAUGAGUACUGUGCCAAAUCCAGCAAACAAGUAGUUUGUAAGAUAAGAA